rnacentral:misc_RNA from 1 species
GAUGAAGAACGCAGCGAAAUGCGAUACGUAAUGUGAAUUGCAGAAUUCAGUGAAUCAUCGAAUCUUUGAACGCAUAUUGCGCUCUCUGGUAUUCCGGAGAGCAUGCUUGUUUGAGUAUCAGUAAACACCUCAACUUCCAUAUCUUUUUUGAAAUGGGAGUUGGACUUGAGUGAUCCCAACGCUUUUCCUCACCGAAAAGUGGCGGGUUACUUGAAAUGCAGGUGCAGCUGGACUUUUCUCUGAGCUAUAAGCAUAUCUAUUUAGUCUGCCUAAAAAACAGAUUAUUACCUGUGCUGCAGCUAACAUAAAGGAGAUUAGUUCUUGUGCUGACUGAUGCAGGAUUCACAAAGACAGGCUUCGGCCGACUUUGUAAACUCGAUCUCAAAUCAAGUAAGACUACCCGCUGAACUUAAGCAUAUCAAUAAGCGGAGGA